rnacentral:lncRNA from 1 species
AAAGCUCAGGCAUCAGAUAAGAUUAAUAAAAUAUUAGACUAUUAAGAUACAGUAAGAUAGCUGUUUUGUUAGUAAGUAAGUAAAAGCGAGUUAUUGUUAUGACAAACAACUGUACUUUUGUAUUAAACAGUGAUAAAAUUGUUCAUAUUCAAAUGUAUUUACACAAUAAAAAUCAUCCAGUUCAUGUUACCACAAUAUCUUCAAAUUCACAGUCACAGGCUCUAAAAGAGUGCAAAGUAAUUUCUAAAAUAAGAUGGAACUUUAUGCUUUUAUUUCUCUAUGAUUUGUUCUAAACGGCUAAGUGGUUAAGGUUGUUGAUUGAGUCACAUUCACCUCACCGACGUGGGUUCAGGCCUCGCUCAGGGCGUUAAAUAAUUCAUAUGAGGAAACCGGGGGUUCUACCCAGGUGCCAUUCGGUGAUGAAAAAAUGCACGGAAGGGCACUUUGAGUCUUCCUCCGCCAUCAAAAGCUGUGUCGUUGUGACGUUAAACCCAACAACAUUCAAAGCAAAUUGAGGACAGAAAUAGCAUUUCAACAGAUGUAAAUUCCAAAGUAUCAAUCUUUUUUCCCUUGAAAAUGGUCUCAGUCAUUAAUUUAUAUCAUUAUCAUAUUAAUAGUUCUAUUGAUUUAUUCUGUGAAAAAAUCACUGCUGUUUACCGUCUAUUAUUUGUGAUAAAUUGUGGUUUCGAAGUACAAUCUUAAAAACCUUAAAAUUUUUCUGCAACUUCAACUUUUACCCCGAAGGUAGAAAAAUUUGAAAACAAAAACAAACAAAAAAGAUAAAAAGUGAACAGUUCUGUCUGAAGAUAUAAUGGCAAAGCUUGAUCUCUUUUAAUGGCGUGAGAGUAAUUCUCCAUUUAAUUCAUAGGGCUUUAAAACAGGCAUACCAAUUACUAUUAGUUUAGGUGUAUAUUUGGUCAGUAUUUAUAUCACUAUUUAUGUUAAUCUUGAAGUGUUCAAAGUCAAGGAGAUAUGGCAAUUUAAUUGUUCUCGAUAUAUCCAAACAGGGGACACCGAGCAUACCAUUAAGUGAAAUAUUACAGAAUGACGUCACAAUUUAUGUUUGCUUCCUUUAGAGUCACAAAUCUGGUCAAGACAAACAAAAUGGUAUAAAAAUAUUUUAUUUUUAACGAACCAGAUAAAAUCCUGUAAGAAUCAGAAGACAAACGCAAAUAUGGUAUUGGCGGUUUUCAGUAAUGAUAUUAUUACAUAUUUGCUUAAUAGUAUUAAGACUAAAUUAAAUUAAACUAAAUGUUUAGUUUUUUGUUCUGAAACAGAUAUUUUAAGACUUAAUAUAUAAGGCAAUGUUAUGUAAUGUUAUGUGCAUUGCUAUUUUGGUUACAUUAUUACCCAUUUCUUACCUAUGUGAUGCAUUAAAUAAGCAUUACAUAAACAUAUCUCAAUUACUGGAAAACAUGUAAUGCAUUACAAUGCAAUACCCAUUAUAUUUUCAAUUACCCCAUGCCUAGUUGAUGGAUUUCAAAGCACUAUGACUGCUUUACCUGUCCAAAAGUAAAAAAGUAAAAAUAAGAGAUGUAAAACAAAGUUUGCGUGCUUCUAGGUUGACAAUAUUGAUGUCUUCUUUUCUUCUUCUCUCUCUAUCAAUAACACUGAGUUUUCUUUUACUCUACUGUGUUUCAGUAUAUAUUUGUUAAUCCAAAGUGUCUGUCCAUUGAUAGUGACAAGGACUGCAAAGUGUUCUACAAUGGAAUAUUGGUAUUUUACAUAAUAUAUAUAGUAUUUCAGUUAUGUCCCUUUAUUAAUUUACAAUCAAUAAGAUUUCAGAAACUCUGUUCUCAAUCCUUUUUUAAUCUUCGUAUACAUCCACAUGUAGUAUAUACAUUGUGUAUGCACCAAGGUGUUUUCUGUGGAAUAACGUCUACUAAAAGUCAGUCUUCAGACUUUUAAACGCGGCACUCACGUACAAACCUGCGGCACUCACGUACAAAUCUGCGGAAAUCACGUACAAACCUGCGGCACUCACGCACAAACGUACAAACCUGCGGCACUCACGUACAAACCUGCGGAAAUCACGUACAAACCUGCGGCACUCACGCACAAACCUGCGGAAAUCACGCACAAACCUGCGGCACUCACGUACAAACCUGUGGAAAUCACGUACAAAAUCACGUACAAACCUGCGGCACUCACGUACAAACCUGCGGAAAUCACGUACAAACCUGCGGUACUCACGUACAAACCUGCGGAAAUCACGUACAAACCUGCGGCACUCACGUACAAACCUGCGGAAAUCAAGUACAAACCUGCGGACCUCACGUACAAACCUGCGGCACUCACGUACAAACCUGCGGAAAUCACGUACAUUUACGAACACAGUAAUUUACCUUUUCACGGAAUGAAAGCUUGUAUACUACUGUUUUGAUGUUUGUUACACCAAUAAAGUAUUGCAUUGCUUUGUUAAAUAUCACCAGUUACAUAAUGUUUGCUGUUACUUCACCUUGCUAUAACACUUAUAGCUUCCAAGUAUUUGUAUGUCUCGAAACUCCCUAAAAUGGUCGACUUAUAGCAAGCAUAUGAUCUGUUUGUGAAGUGCGACCAUUUUUGAAGUACAACACUUGGAUUAAUCAUUUAAUGAGACACUCCAACAUUCACACUAGUCGUGAAGGACGUUUUAACAUUAUUUGUAGAUCGCUUCUGUUUCAGCAGCAGUGUAAUUUCAUUAUACCCACCAAUAUAAUGUACAUAGCAUUUAUAAUGCAGUCACGUAUGUCGGCUGGUCCGUCCAUCCGCUCCAUAUGUUCUUAGUCACUUUUAAGAUUUUCAUGAAACUAACAUCAGUAGUUAACCUUAUAACUACGCCUUGCAGAACGAGCAACCCAGGUCACUAGGAUAAAUGUAAAGGUCACGAACAAGUAGUUUUAACUUGUGUCCGAUCCAUAUAUUCUUAUCCCCACAGUAAGAUAUGUCAAACGUAGUUAAGAAAGUUAAGUACCUACUCUGAGAAGAUAUUGAUUUUGACUUCAAAUAUUUGUUUUAAACGCGGAAUCCAACUCUUAUUUUUAAUCCAGGUCACUAGAUUCGUAUCGGCUCCAUAUCGUUUUCAACCGCUCGAAGGAUUUUCAUAAAGUUAGUAACAUAAGUACCGGUACAGACAUUAUUCCUUCCUAUAUACAAAUUAGUGUGUUUUAACUGUGUCCACGUAAGAAAAUGAUUUUAUUUGAAAUUGUCAAAGCAUUCAAGUACAUCAUAUAACUCUUUUUUCCAAAAAUAAAAUCUCUUAAACAUACUUGCAUCGCAUGAACUAAUAGGAAUAAUUUUAUCUUUAAGGAAAUAUUGGCAACAAAGGAAACAAAACAAUUAUUCAACUGGCCUAAGUGUUUUGCAGAACAUUAUAUUCACCACUUACACACUGACUUUGUAAACAUUUCCUUUCGAAUCUUAGCAAAAUGAUUUUGUUUAGAUUUUUAGGACUUGUUAUUAUAUUUGUGUAUUUUUCCCUUGGUUCAGAAGAGCACAUAUGUUCCCGUUACCACUAUGAGGAACAAACACUGUCUAAAGCUGUAAGACUUGAACAUAGACUGGAUAUUUUAGAGGAUAAAGUCAUAAACAAGACGGCGAAACUUGCACAAAAUCCAACAUGCGCACAAUGCCCAGAUAUGUGGAUGCCAUUCAAGAAAUUUUGCUAUCUCUUUGUGGACGAACAACAUACAUUCGAAGAUGCUAGGCACCAUUGCAUGCUUAAUGAUAGGUUAUCUAGUUGAAAUUGAGAGCGAAACAGAAAAUGUGUUUCUGAAAAAUCAGCUGAAAAAAAUGAAAGAAGUUCAUUAUUGGAUAGGCCUUACCGAUGUUGACAAAGAGGGAACAUUUAAAUGGUUGAGUAGUGACGACGAUGCGUCAUUCACAGACUGGGGUCCUGACCGACCUAAUAAUUCGGGUGGAAAUCAAGAUUGUGUCUUGUUUCAUCAUGGCUUGGCUUUUAAAUGGGAUGAUUAUGACUGCGGGGCAAAAUAUAAAUCAAUAUGUGAAAAGAAAGCAGAAUGAUAUGUUGAUAAGGUUAAUUUAUGUUUUAAGACGCAUUUACAUCUUUCGUGUGUUCGGGCCAUUUCCACGGAAUUGAGGGGCCAACAAAAGGCUACACUUAGAAGAAAACUAUGUGUGACUAAUUUGAAUUUAUAUGAUUUUAGUAUCCCUUUCUAAAGCAACUAUGAAAGCCUAUGAAGUCCCAAACCCUGUAUUUUUACAGGUCGUAUCUAAUCAUAACAGACGUACGCAUCAUGACUACAUUUAUAUAAUUGCUCAUAUCUGAUAUGCGUCGAUUCAGUAGAACGUUAUUCCAUCUACUACUUACAAUAUUUUGAGAGAAUCGAUCUCAUAAGUUAAUUUCCAUUCAUUCCAGAGUGAAAACAAUGAAGAAAAAUCUGCACGUUCCUGUUAUAUUGUAGAUUCUGACUGAGUACGAUUUUAAAACCUUUAAAUUUAUUCUAAGACUUCUGCAAAUUCCCCUGUUUGUUUUGGAGCUAGAACAGACAUGAAAAAGUAUGUUAAAGUCUACAACUCUGUAGAAAGCUGCAUCUCUUUUACUGCAGUUACAUCAAAUCUCAAGUUUUAUGGACAAAGAACACUCCUUUACAAAGGCGUAGUAAUCGCAUAAUGUUUGUGUAUGUGCAUGAUUGUUCAUUAUUUAUAUCACUAUUGAUUUUGCUCUUGAUGUGCUUUAAGUCGCCAUAGAGCAAAUCGUUAAGUGAAUGUUUCCCUAAUGACGUCACCAUGUACAGUUGUUUGCUGUUGAGUCAUAGAACUCUUCAAAAUAAAACAUAUCAUGUUUGUGAGAAAAAAAUGGAGAUUGAGCACUACAAGAAUCAGACGACGAAUGGUAACACUGCCAACAUUGUUCAGGGGUGUUCCAAAGGUAUGAAAUAUAAAGCUAUUACAAAUGAGCCGCACCAUGAGAACACCAACAUAGUGCAUUUGCGACCAGCAUGACUACAUCCGCGCAGUCUGGUCAGGAUUCAUGCUGUUCGCUUUCAAACCCUGUUGCAAUUAGAGAAACCGUUAGCGAACAGCAUGCAUCCUGACCAGACUGCGCGGAUGCGCAGGCUGGUCUGGAUCCAAGCUGGUCGCAAAUGCACUAUGUUGGUUUUAACAUGGUGCGGCUCAAUAGUUUUACUGGACACAGGUAUCCAACACAAGUUGCAAAACAAUCCAGUUUAGUUCGUUUAAACUACGGAUGUAUGUUUGAGAGAUCGGUAAUCUUAUUUCUUUUGUUAAUAGAUAAUCUGGUUGAACUUAUCAUAUAAACACCCAUACUCAUUAAUCUUUACGCUACGCAAAAAGUAUGUCAUAUAGUUUAUAACCAGGCUAUAUGCAACAUUGAUUCGGUUGUGUCACGUAUAAGCUUAAAAUUCUUGAUAAACUUAGUUUUUUUGUAAGAGAAAAGGCUGAAAAGGGAGAUAUGACAAAUACGUACCGAGUCACAUUAGUCACAUUUACAUUGUAUUCAGGUAUAAAACAAGAAUAUACAAUAUAAUAUACAAGCAAACGGCCAUUCUAACAGAACUACAAGACUUAGGGGGGCCUGUGGUCUAGUGGUAACACGCUUCACUCCAGAGGUCCGGGGUUCGAAUCCCGGUCCAGGCACUGGAAAUUUCUGAGAUGCUCUUGAGUGUCUCCCACCUAAUUAAGAGGCCUGUACUGGUUCU